AAAAAAAAACAGUGUCAAAAUACAUAUACAUCUAAGUAGAUGAAGAACAAUUGAAGAAAGACAUCUAGUACCAAGCUUUGGCUUCUGCACCUACUCUCAACACGCAUACUAACAGAUACAUACACUGCAUAUAAAACAACACACACACUCUUUCACUCACGCAUGUAGUAAGUGUUGAACAGGACCCUACAUACAGUACUCCCAGCUUUCUCAUUGUUUUCUUCCCCCUCCCAACUCUCCCAGACUCUCUCCCCAUCAACCCAUCUCCAUAUUCUGCAAACACAAAACAAGAGAGAAAACCCCCAAACAAGAUGAAACAAGAACAAAAGUCUUGGAGACUCUUGAAUUAUCCGAGUAUCCCUGAGCACGGUCUGUCCUGGGGUGGGACUGACUUACCCAGUGCCACUCCGUUGAAGAAAACUGAUUUCCAUUCCCCCAGCAGCCGCUGAUUGCAAACAGUUCCUCGAGUAUGGGUGAGAAUGCAUGUGUCUGUGUGUCUGUGCCCAUGUGUCUUUCCAUGUGCUGGAAUUUUGUCUAGCUUGAACUUCACACACAGAGAAGUAUUUAGAUAAAUAUUAACCUAGAAAAUUUGGAACUUACUUCAGUGUUUCUGCUUUUUCAGGAAGGAAUUCAGGAACUAAGCUUAUUAAAAACACUUGAAUCCACUGGCAAAGCUGAGGCUGCUACAUUAAGGAUCAAGAGUAUCCAUCUUAAUGGAGACCAUCUCGGAUAUCCACGCCUGGCCAAAAUGCAGAGAACAGCUGACUGUGGGGUACCUGGCCCCCCAUUGAUACAUUUACAGUACAGCCCCCCCGCCGCUGAGACUCAGCCCUAGAAUAAGGCAUGACCUUACACUGUGUGCUUUUCUGGGAAAGGCUCUUGUGCAGCCAAGGCUCUCGGCUGACUUACUGUAGUCACUGCCUCUAACCACUUGUUCAUGAGACAGGCAGGGGGAGGAGCCGAGUCCAUAGCACAGGUCGUCUUGUCCAUCUCUGUGUGCAGACAGAAAGUGUGAACUGUCCAGCUCCGUGACCCCUGGUGAAUGGUGUGACCCUGGUGAAUGGCGGCUAGUGGCCGAUGCGCCUUCUGGGGUUUUGUUUAUCUGUACAUGGGGUCAGAACAGCUAUCUCCAUGGUGACAAAGCAUGCAGUUCCCGUCUUGACAAAAGGAGUAGACUGCAAAGCAAAUAGGACAAGAGCUGGAAGCAGCUUGCCCUCAGCGUUGGCGCGUACCGACUACCUGUAGAUUCAUAUGCUCAGGAUAAACAAACCUCCUGGUUUCAUGAGCUCUGCCUUGCAUAAGAGCCCCUCUUCUGUGUGAAAUGCACUUGUCUGGCUCUGCCCACCCUGUCCUUGACCACCAGUCCCUAGCUCCCAGGAGCUCUGAGAACAUGCUAGCAACUCUCUUCACACCUAGGUCUUCACUUUAGCUUGAGAACACCUGUGAGUGAGAAUGCCUCUUGAUGGAAAAACAGAAAUUUGGGGAAUUCCUGCCUGUUUCAUAGGAUCCUUGACAUAGUUACCAUGGAGUCGACCCUCCAUUUUAGCUAUCAAAUAAAGCAGCGAUUUUUUUUCCGA